GAUUGACCUCNGAUCANGUUGGGAUACCCGCUGACUUAAGCAUAUCCAUUA
rnacentral:rRNA from 1 species